rnacentral:tRNA from 1 species
GGGAAGAUGGCUUAGUGGUAGAGUGCUUGCCUUGCAUGCAUGAAACCCUGGGUUCGAUUCCUCAGUACCA